UUUAAUUUUUUGCUUAUAUGUAAAUUUCUGAAUUUCUUUUUGUCUAACUUUGUCACCAAUGUGUGUUACUAUAGGGUCGUAAGAUGGGUCAAUGUGAACCUCGUAAGUUGAAUUUCGGUUGUACGGAUGGAAUGGAAAAUAAUAUGUACGAUCAGGCUAAUGUAUCAUAAGGUGUCGGAAGCUCAAUCCUACUAUUUUCCUUGUAUGGACGGGACACAAGAGAGCGCAUUGCAAAUGGUGGACAAAGUUGGAAGCUCAUCUUUGAGUGAAUCAGGAAUGGCGAAUAUAGAUGGUUCAACUUUUGUCGACUUCAAUAUAGAUGUGGAUCCAAAUGCUCAAUUUUUUUUUUAGUUUCGUAGUAUGGAAUUUGUAACACAUGCUGAACAGAUAUUUUAUUUUUUGAACUGGUUUUUCUUAACACAUGCUGAACAGAUUAUAUUUUGAAGAAGUUAUAUUGAAACAGGUUCUGUAUGUUUUUAACAGGUUA